rnacentral:lncRNA from 1 species
AUCUCAGCAUUGGCCAUAAAAACGCGUUUGAAGGCCUGUUUCUGGGACUGAUAGGGAGGGGUCUAAAACUUAGAUUUCUGCUAUAUCAACCUUCCAAACCAAAAGGGGAUUCCGCUCCUACCGCUAAAGCAUUGUUUCGGCCCCUGCUUCCAGAAGAGUUGGUGCAAAAGUCAUUGUAGUCCAAAUAGCGUAUUUCCGGUUAGGGGCCUAAGACUCACUAAAGCAAUUGUAGCUAUUCACUCCUUCUAGUUCUAGUGAAUUUCGCUCCAAAUAGCAUAAAAAGAAGCUUGAGUUCAAUUAGGGGGGAACCCUCUGUAGUCAACCUGCUCCCAAUGAAGAAUCCGAUCUCUCUUUUAUGGGCUGUUUCCCUCGUAUCUGACCUAUCCGAGUUAGCCCUCCACAGAAAUAGAAAGAGUCGUGCUUCAAAGUGGAAUUCUUCUAAGAUCCAUUGCUCGAUUUUGCUGCAUGCUCUGCUCCCAAAAUGCGGAGAGACUUGCGAAGGCAGAUCCGGGUUGGUUGGUCCGGAAAGUCAUGGGAGAGGCAGGCUAAGUAAAAUAAUAUACUGGUGCUAUUGAUUAUAGAAUCUUAUGAAUCAAGCACGGCACACUUUCUAUAUCUCCUCCGUCUACAAGGUAAACAGCUUAGCUUAGAGCACAGCGUGUUCGCC